ACAAGAAGCUGACAUGAGCCCUUGUUUCCAGUAUGUGAGUCAUCAUUGCCACCAAUGGUCUGGGUCAUUGGCUGUGCACACACAUCCACAGACAGUACAACAACAGCCUCUAGUCCCUUGUUGCUGACCUUUGGGAAGCUGGGCAUGUAAGGCCAUACAUGAUCUACAGUGUACUUGUAGAGGUCAGAGGACAACUUGCAGGAGUCAUUUCUCUGCUUCCACAAUGUG